GACGUAGGUGGCGAACGUUAUCCGGAAUUAUUGGGCGUAAAGGGUGCGUAGGCGGUCGGGUAAGUCUGAUGUGAAAUCUCACAGCUUAACUGUGAAACUGCAUUGGAUACUAUCCGGCUUGAGGAAUGGAGGGGAGACUGGAAUACUUGGUGUAGCAGUGAAAUGCGUAGAUAUCAAGUGGAACACCAGUGGCGAAGGCGAGUCUCUGGACAUUUCCUGACGCUGAGGCACGAAAGCCAGGGGAGCAAACGGG
rnacentral:rRNA from 1 species